GUAGUGGUGGUUUAGUGGUAGAAUUCUCAUCUGCCAUGUGAGGACCUGGGUUUGAUUCCUGGCCAAUGUA
rnacentral:tRNA from 1 species